ACAGGGGUGCCGAAAGGCUGAGAUCAUACCCGUAGAACCUGAACUGGGUAAUGCCAGCGGAGGGAUUCGAUGAUCCA
rnacentral:ncRNA from 1 species